GUGAGGAAUUUUCCGCAAUGGGCGAAAGCCUGACGGAGCAAUGCCGCGUGAAGGAUGAAGGCCUAUGGGUUGUAAACUUCUUUUCUCAGAAAAGAAUUAUGACGGUAUCUGAGGAAUAAGCAUCGGCUAACUCUGUGCCAGCAGCCGCGGUAAGACAGAGGAUGCAAGCGUUAUCCGGAAUGAUUGGGCGUAAAGCGUCUGUAGGUUGUUUAAAAAGUAUUCUGUCAAAGAUUAGGGCUUAACCCUAGAUAGGCAGAAUAAACUUUUAAGCUAGAGUGUGGUAGAGGCAGAGGGAAUUCCCGGUGGAGCGAUGAAAUGCGUAGGUAUCGGGAGGAACACCAAAGGCGAAGGCAGUCUGCUGGGCCAAUACUAACACUGAGAGACGAAAGCGAGGGGAGCAAAUGGGAUUAGAUACCCCGGUAGUCC
rnacentral:rRNA from 1 species